GGACGAACGCUGGCGGCGUGCUUAACACAUGCAAGUCACGGGGGGCCCGCAAGGGUAACCGGCGAACGGGUGCGUAACACGUGAGCAACCUGCCUUUGUGUGGGGGGAUAGCCGGGCUAAACGCCCGGGUAAUACCGCAUACGGUUCUCGAGGGGAGUCCCUUGGGAAAAGAAACCUCCGGGGCACAAAGAGGGGCUCGCGGCCUAUCAGCUAGUUGGCGGGGGUAAUGGCCCACCAAGGCAUCGACGGGGUAGCUGGUCNGAGAGGAUGGCCAGCCACAUUGGGACUGAGAUACGGCCCAGACUCCUACGGGAGGCAGCAGUGGGGAAUAUUGCGCAAUGGCCGCAAGGCUGACGCAGCGACGCCGCGUGUGGGAUGACGCC
rnacentral:rRNA from 1 species